rnacentral:rRNA from 1 species
CCUACGGGAGGCAGCAGUGGGGAAUAUUGGGCAAUGGGCGCAAGCCUGACCCAGCAACGCCGCGUGAAGGAAGAAGGCUUUCGGGUUGUAAACUUCUUUUCUCAGGGACGAAGAAAGUGACGGUACCUGAAGAAUAAGCCACGGCUAACUACGUGCCAGCAGCCGCGGUAAUACGUAGGUGGCAAGCGUUAUCCGGAUUUAUUGGGUGUAAAGGGCGUGUAGGCGGGAGCGCAAGUCAGAUGUGAAAACUCAGGGCUCAACCCUGAGCCUGCAUUUGAAACUGUGUUUCUUGAGUACUGGGGAGGCAAUCGGAAUUCCGUGUGUAGCGGUGAAAUGCGUAGAUAUACGGAGGAACACCAGUGGCGAAGGCGGAUUGCUGGACAGUAACUGACGCUGAGGCGCGAAAGCGUGGGGAGCAAACAGGAUUAGAUACCCCUGUAGUC